rnacentral:lncRNA from 1 species
UGCUACAAAGAGAGCCAUCUCCAUUGAUCACUAUUGUUGGUCAGGAGCAUGAGCCUGAGACUGAUCCAGAGGAGGAUCCUGAGGAAGAAGAGGAGUUCCCACCGAACUCCAUUGAUGCUGAGAGGUAUGAUGCACUUUAUGAUCAUAACAUAGAGUUACAGGAUACUGUCUGGGAUCUGACUGAGCGGGCGGUUAGUCAGCAUAUUACUAUUGAGCAGAGAGAUAGGGAG